rnacentral:rRNA from 1 species
AUUGAACGCUGGCGGCAGGCCUAACACAUGCAAGUCGAGCGAACCUAGCUUGCUAGGUGAGCGGCGAACGGGUGAGUAACGCGUAGGAAUCUGCCCGAUAGUGGGGGACAACGUCUCAAAAGGGACGCUAAUACCGCAUACGCCCUACGGGGGAAAGCAGGGGAUCUUCGGACCUUGCGCUAUCGGAUGAGCCUGCGUCGGAUUAGCUAGUUGGUGGGGUAAAGGCCCACCAAGGCGACGAUCCGUAGCUGGUCUGAGAGGAUGAUCAGCCACACCGGAACUGAGACACGGUCCGGACUCCUACGGGAGGCAGCAGUGGGGAAUAUUGGACAAUGGGGCAACCCUGAUCCAGCCAUGCCGCGUGUGUGAAGAAGGCCUUCGGGUUGUAAAGCACUUUAAGGGGGGAGGAAGGUUCGUUGGCUAAUAUCCAACGGAAUUGACGCUACCCCCAGAAUAAGCACCGGCUAACUCCGUGCCAGCCGCCGCCGUAA